UACGUAGGGGGCGAGCGUUGUCCGGAUUUAUUGGGCGUAAAAAAGCUCGUAGGCGGCUUGGCAAGUCGGGUGUGAAACCUCCAGGCUCAACCUGGAGACGCCACUCGAUACUGCCAUGGCUAGAGUCCGGUAGGGGACCACGGAAUUCCUGGUGUAGCGGUGAAAUGCGCAGAUAUCAGGAGGAACACCGGUGGCGAAGGCGGUGGUCUGGGCCGGCACUGACGCUGAGGAGCGAAAGCGUGGGUAGCAAACAGG
rnacentral:rRNA from 1 species